UAAAAUAUUUCAACCAUUUUUAAGCAUUGUGAACUAAUAGAGGGAUGUGGUGGUUUGUUUUUUCCUCUUAAAAAUUAUAAUGUACUUAAGACAAACCAUAGAAACAAAAAACAUUUAGAUAUGAGGAUUUUUAAAUGAUGGAAUGGAUAAUAGAUCAUAUGCCUGGGAAAAAGGGUAUGAUUCUCUUGAGAUUAUUUUUGUCAAAGGCAUAUAAGAACUGGUACCUUGAUGAGCUAAAGAAUUCCUAACAAAUUUUAUUUUGUAAAGGUUUGGAAUACUUACUUGUGUUUUUCAUUUUAGUGUGAUUUGGUACUUGAUGCCGCACAUGAGAAAAGUACAGAAUCCAGUUCGGGGCCGAAACGUGAAGAAAUAAUGGAGAGUAUUUUGUUCAAAUGUUCAGACUUUGUUGUGGUACAGUUUAAAGAUAUGGACUCCAGUUAUGCAAAAAGAGAUGCUUUUACUGACUCUGCUAUCAGUGCUAAAGUGAAUGGCGAACACAAAGAGAAGGACCUGGAGCCCUGGGAUGCAGGUGAACUCACAGCCAAUGAGGAACUUGAGGCUUUGGAAAAUGACGUAUCUAAUGGAUGGGAUCCCAAUGAUAUGUUUCGAUAUAAUGAAGAAAAUUAUGGUGUAGUGUCUACGUAUGAUAGCAGUUUAUCUUCGUAUACAGUGCCCUUAGAAAGAGAUAACUCAGAAGAAUUUUUAAAACGGGAAGCAAGGGCAAACCAGUUAGCAGAAGAAAUUGAGUCAAGUGCCCAGUACAAAGCUCGAGUGGCCCUGGAAAAUGAUGAUAGGAGUGAGGAAGAAAAAUACACAGCAGUUCAGAGAAAUU
rnacentral:sRNA from 1 species